rnacentral:rRNA from 1 species
AUUGAACGCUGGCGGCAUGCCUUACACAUGCAAGUCGAACGGUAACAGGUCUUCGGAUGCUGACGAGUGGCGAACGGGUGAGUAAUACAUCGGAACGUGCCCAGACGUGGGGGAUAACGAGGCGAAAGCUUUGCUAAUACCGCAUAUGAUCUAAGGAUGAAAGCAGGGGACCGCAAGGCCUUGCGCGUUUGGAGCGGCCGAUGGCAGAUUAGGUAGUUGGUGGGAUAAAAGCUUACCAAGCCGACGAUCUGUAGCUGGUCUGAGAGGACGACCAGCCACACUGGAACUGAGACACGGCCCAGACUCCUACGGGAGGCAGCAGUGGGGAAUUUUGGACAAUGGGCGAAAGCCUGAUCCAGCAAUGCCGCGUGCAGGAUGAAGGCCUUCGGGUUGUAAACUGCUUUUGUACGGAACGAAAAGGCUCUGGCUAAUACCUGGGGCACAUGACGGUACCGUAAGAAUAAGCACCGGCUAACUACGUG